rnacentral:rRNA from 1 species
UCUGUCCUACGGGAGGCAGCAGUGGGGAAUAUUGCACAAUGGGGGAAACCCUGAUGCAACGACGCCGCGUGAAGGAAGAAGUAUUUCGGUAUGUAAACUUCUAUCAGCAGGGAAGAAAAUGACGGUACCUGACUAAGAAGCCCCGGCUAACUACGUGCCAGCAGCCGCGGUAGUACGUAGGGGGCAAGCGUUAUCCGGAUUUACUGGGUGUAAAGGGAGCGUAGGCGGUAAUGCGAGUCAGAAGUGAAAGCCCGGGGCUCAACUCCGGGACUGCUUUUGAAACUGUGUUGCUAGAUUGCAGGAGG